GUCCUUGCCGUAAACGAUGUGGAUUAGGUAUCGGGGGUGUCGAUCCCCCCGGCGCCGACGCUAACGCAUUAAAUCCACCACCUGGGGAGUACGGUCGCAAGACUGAAACUCAAAGAAAUUGACGGGGACCCGCACAAGCGGUGGAGCAUGUGGUUUAAUUCGAGGCUACGCGAAGAACCUUACCCAGGCUUGACAUGUAUUUGCAAGCCUAUGAAAAUAGGUCCUCUCGCAAGAGACGAUUACACAGGUGCUGCAUGGCUGUCGU
rnacentral:rRNA from 1 species